rnacentral:rRNA from 1 species
AUUGAACGCUGGCGGCAUGCCUUACACAUGCAAGUCGAACGGCAGCACGGGUGCUUGCACCUGGUGGCGAGUGGCGAACGGGUGAGUAAUACAUCGGAACAUGUCCUGUAGUGGGGGAUAGCCCGGCGAAAGCCGGAUUAAUACCGCAUACGAUCCACGGAUGAAAGCGGGGGACCUUCGGGCCUCGCGCUAUAGGGUUGGCCGAUGGCUGAUUAGCUAGUUGGUGGGGUAAAGGCCUACCAAGGCGACGAUCAGUAGCUGGUCUGAGAGGACGACCAGCCACACUGGGACUGAGACACGGCCCAGACCCCUACGGGAGGCAGCAGUGGGGAAUUUUGGACAAUGGGCGAAAGCCUGAUCCAGCAAUGCCGCGUGUGUGAAGAAGGCCUUCGGGUUGUAAAGCACUUUUGUCCGGAAAGAAAUCCUUGGCUCUAAUACAGUCGGGGGAUGACGGUACCGGAAGAAUAAGCACCGGCUAACUACGUG